UACGUAGGGGGGCAAGCGUUGUCCGGAUUUAUUGGGCGUAAAGAGCGUGUAGGCGGCUUCACAGGUCCGCUGUGAAAACUCGAGGCUCAACCUCGAGCUGUCGGUGGAAACCGUGUGGCUAGAGUCCGGAAGAGGAGAGUGGAAUUCCCGGUGUAGCGGUGAAAUGCGUAGAUAUCGUAAGGAAGACCAGUGGCGAAGGCGGGUCUCUGGACAGUUCCUGACGCUGAGGCACGAAGGUCAGGGGGAGCAAACGGG
rnacentral:rRNA from 1 species